rnacentral:lncRNA from 1 species
UAGAUGUGGAAAUACAGUUGUUUCUGAUUUUCUGAUUUCAACAGUAGGCUUAAUGUGGAGUUACUGUUUAUUCUGUUCUCUGAUAUUAAGCUGUCUCCUCUGUUUAUGUUAGCUACCAAGCUGUAGAAUAUAUGAGAGGAGGAGAUGAUCCAGCCAGAGCUUGCCAAAAAGUGAUUUCAAGAAUUCAGAAAUAUUAUCCAAAAUUCUUUGGAGCUGUUAUAUGUGCCAAUGUGACAGGAAGUUAUGGUGCUGCUUGCAACAGACUUCCAACAUUUACUCAAUUUAGUUUCAUGGUUUAUAACUCUCUACACAAUCAGGCGAUUGAAGAAAAAGUAGACUGCAUGUAAUCUCUCUUGUCUGUCAACAUAUGUAUUUAAAGAGGAAAGACGUGACGGCGGGAAGGUUGCUCACUGACAUGGAGUGAUCCUCAAUUAUUUCAAGUUCUUGUGUAAAUUAAGUGCAAAAAUAAAUAUGCUGUAGUGUUGUUUCUGU